rnacentral:tRNA from 2 species
GCCGAGAUGGCGGAACUGGUAUACGCGUACGGUUCAGGGCCGUAUGCCGCAAGGCUUGGGGGUUCAACUCCCCCUCUCGGCACUA